rnacentral:rRNA from 1 species
UGGGGAAUAUUGCGCAAUGGGCGAAAGCCUGACGCAGCGACGCCGCGUGAGGGAUGAAGGUUUUCGGAUCGUAAACCUCUGUCAGAAGGGAAGAAACCGCACUGUGCUAAUCAGCAGUGCCUUGACGGUACCUUCAAAGGAAGCACCGGCUAACUCCGUGCCAGCAGCCGCGGUAAUACGGAGGGUGCAAGCGUUAAUCGGAAUUACUGGGCGUAAAGCGCACGUAGGCUGCUUUGUAAGUCAGGGGUGAAAUCCCACGGCUCAACCGUGGAACUGCCGUUGAUACUGCUUAGCUUGAAUCCGGGAGAGGGUGGCGGCAUUCCAGGUGUAGGAGUGAAAUCCGUAGAUAUGUGGGGGAACAUCAGUGGCGAAGGCGGCCACCUGGACCGGUAUUGACGCAGAGGUGCGAAAGCGUGGAGAGCAAACAGG